GAUGAACGCUGGCGGCGUGCCUAAUACAUGCAAGUCGAGCGAACAGACGAGGAGCUUGCUCCUCUGACGUUAGCGGCGGACGGGUGAGUAACACGUGGAUAACCUACCUAUAAGACUGGGAUAACUUCGGGAAACCGGAGCUAAUACCGGAUAAUAUAUUGAACCGCAUGGUUCAAUAGUGAAAGACGGUUUUGCUGUCACUUAUAGAUGGAUCCGCGCCGCAUUAGCUAGUUGGUAAGGUAACGGCUUACCAAGGCAACGAUGCGUAGCCGACCUGAGAGGGUGAUCGACCACACUGGAACUGAGACACGGUCCGGACUCCUACGGGAGGCAGCAGUAGGGAGUCUUCCGCAAUGGGCGAAAGCCUGACGGAGCAACGCCGCGUGAGUGAUGAAGGUCUUCGGAUCGUAAAACUCUGCUAUUAGGGAAGAACAAAUGUGUAAGUAACUAUGCACGUCUUGACGGUACCUAAUCAGAAAGCCACGGCUAACUACGUG
rnacentral:rRNA from 1 species